GAGAAGGGAGAAGCAGAGGAAGGAAGUGGAGGUUCCUCUCGCGAUAUUUCAGUGGCGCCGGUCCCACCGUGUGAUUUCCGCCUCUCUAUAGUGCUUCCUCUUGGGAUCAGCGAGCUGUGUGGCACCUGUACGGCUGCUGCUGCUGAGUGGCCUGCUGGUGGUGCUAGGUUGCGUCCUACUAAUCCACCCCUCCCCUCCCGCGCGAGGGGGCAACCCCAGCCUCACCGGGAACAUCGAGGCCAAGUCAACCGAGAGUUACACACAAAGUCUUCCCCUCUCUUUCCACUCCACCCAAUUCUCUCUUCCUUUUUCCACUCCCCGAUUCGUCCCCGCCGGAAACGCCGCCCCUUGGUCCUACAGUUCCGCCCGAUGGUCCCUCGACUCCAGUCUUCCCUCGCGCAGAGUGACGCAAAGGACUCCCUUCUCUUCUCCGGGGCCCCUCCCCCUGCACGCCGAGAGACUGUUGAAGGGGAUGGGGCGGAGCCCAGGGAGAAAGAGAAAGGGACCAGCACUGGGAGCAUAGGCCAGCUCCACUCCGAGCCAAUGAGGGCAUGGAGGAACAGCCAGCCAGGGUUGUGAUGCAAGAUUUUUAUUAUAUUUUUCAAUAUCUCCCACCAACCAAAAAGUAAAGUGGAUUUAUUUGUUGUUUUUACCAUUAUUGUUGCUAAGGGCUUCCUUUUUUGUUGUUGUUUUUAAAGAAUGUUUAAACUGCCAUAUUAUAAGAGCCUGAAAGUAACACUGGGAAUUGAAAAGGAGGCAAGUUAAAUAUAAGUGAUUUUUUUUUAAGAUAUAUUUUUUAUUUAUUUAUUCUCCCCCCCCUCCACCCUUGCAGCUUGCUUGCUGUCUGCUCUCUGUGUCCAUUUGCUGCGUGUUCUUCGGUGCCUGCCUGUCUCCAUCUUGCUGUGCCAGCUCUCCGCAGGCUCGGACCAUCAGCUGUCCGCACGUGUGGGCCAUCAGCUCUCUGCAGGUGCAGGCCAGCUUGCCUCCAAGGAGGCCCUAGUACGCAAACUCAGGGCCUCCCAUAUGGUAGACAGGAGCCCAAUUGAUUGAGCCACAGCCACUUCCCAAUAUAAGUGAUUUUUACAACAUGGGGGUGAAAAAAAAUUUUUUUUUCUUCUUCUGGCCAAUUCCUAAGGAUCUGUCUGGACAUGUUGCACUCUAAUGCAAUAUCAGUAUGGAUACCUAUGCCCAAUUGAAAAUGAACAAGGUGACCAUCUUUUAAUACCACCAUUACUGACUGUCUUUGGUAGUCUUGGAUCUAGUUUUGGAAACCAUGAUAGCCUGGGAAAGAUGGAAUGCUCUGUGUGGGAGUCCCAGGAGAACCAACUUAAAUAAUAAAGUCUAAAGUUAAACCUUUAUUUAACUUUCUGCCUUCCCUUACCUUUAUAAUUAUUUUCUCCUCCACCCUCAACUUCAGGUCACACUAGUCCUAGUCCUUCUCAGUUAUAUAACAACCCUGUACUUCCUCAUUUCUCUGAAAUGUAAUCUGUCAGGAACCUCAACAUUUGCUUUUUUUUUUCUACUUAAGGGUGAGAAACAACAAGGGAUGGUAAAUAACCUGAACUGGGAAAAAAGGAAAGAGUAGGAGAAGAGAAAAAGAAAAAAGGAAACAAUGAAGGUUUAGAGCAGGAGUUCUUAACAUUUUUUGUUCCAUAGACCACUUUGCCAGUCAGAUAAAAUGAAUACUAUUGUAAUUUAGUUCUUGCAUACAUUCAUAAGUGAAGGAAAUGCUAGAGUUCAGUUAGAAGUAAGAAAAAGUAGAGAUAAUAAGUUGAUUUUUAAAAAUUCAAGUUCAUGGACCCCCUGAAACCUUUCCGUGGGCCCCCGUGGUUUAGAGGAAGGAAAAGAAGUGAUGGAGGAACAAAAUGAUAGUGAUAGUUCUUAGAAGCCCAUCACCUAGAAUCUAUUUCCCAUG
ensembl:lincRNA